ensembl:scaRNA
GGUCAAUGAUGAAUAGUAAAAGGUCUGAAUGCACAGGAAAUGCACUUCCAUUACCCUCCUAGCUCCCAACAGUCUCCCUUUAUCCCGUCACACUCUAGUAGUGCUGUGAUGGAGGAGGUACUGCUGACAGCUUGGGGUAAGCUCAGUUCUAGGUCUCCACAGUGUAAGGAGACAUGGUACUGAAUGUCAUCCAACAGAACCACUUAAAAGGAGCUGAGGGUUUGGAGCGUCUUGAUUGGCUGUGCAUGAUCUCAAGUUUUCAAGCUGAGACC